CCUAACCUUAAUCAUUUCCUCAAAAUUUCUGCCGCCUCUCUAUUUUUCUUCUCUCCUUUGUUCUUAAUCAAUUGUAAAAUGUCUUCUCCUACAUGAAAGAUCUGCUUUUUUUUCUACUCUUCACCUUCAUCGCAAUCUAACAGCUAUUUGGAGGUUCGAUUUCUGUUGAUUGAUUUCGAUAUAUUUGGGGUAAAAUCAUUGCAAUCUUGUGUUCCACAUAUAAGAUAUUUUAUCUAGGGUUUCCACACAAUCUAAAAACUAACCUGCUGCCGCAGAGCACCUCUUCAUCACUUUCAUUGGAGGUUUCAAAGACGGAGAUCCGCCACGUGUCUCGGAAAUGGAAGGAUCAAAUUCAACGCAGUCCUGAACGCACAAAGGUCUGGAUUGAGCCUAACAAACUUCGUAGAGUCGCCGUUGUUUACUACCUCUGCCGUAACGGCCAGCUUGAGCAUCCGCAUGUUAAUGUUUCUUUCUCCUGUUCUGAUGGACUGGAUCUUCGAGAUGUAAUAGAUUGUUUAAAUUCUCUUCGAGGAAAACGAGUGGCGGCAAUGUACUCGUGGUCUUCUAAACAGCUAUGUGACUUGCUGUAACGAUGAUGCUUUCGGAGUGGACAAGAUCUGUCAUGCGGCGUGGCUCAAAGGCUCCGAUGCUCAUGCUUUCGGAGUGGACGAUCGAUGUUCCAGAUCUAUCUAAACCGAUGUCGGAGAUAUCGCCGCUGAUUCUCCGCAACUUGCUAUUUAAACUUUCUAAUUUACACGUGUAUCAACUAAUAGCAACUAAUUUUGGUUAACUUUUGGGCACUUAGUGAAUUAAUUUUAUUCCCAAGAGACCAAAAUACUCAAAUGUAAACUGUAACAUCUUUGUUGUGCAGUGUGCAUAUAAUGAUGUUGAGUGUUGAUGAAUCAGGUUGUAGCAAAGAAGCAAACAAUUUCAUACCUGAAUGAUUUA